UCUUGCCAUUGAAUAAAAAUGAACAAGUGAUGGAGUUAACCAUACUCAUUACUAUAGAAGCCUAAAUGUUAGAGAAACCAUGCUUGAGCAUUAUUGCUUCCAAAUAUGGUCACUCAAUUCUAUCAUAUGCCUUUAUCAUGUCCAACUUAAACGCACAAUGGCGGUGUUUCAGAGCUUUGUUCUGCUUCAUAAAAUGCAAACACUCAUAGGCCACAAUUAUGUUAUCUGUGAUGAGACGCUCAGGAACAAAAGCGGACUGUUGCGAUGAGAUGGUCUCAGGAAGUACCACUUUCAACCGAUUAGCAACAACUUUGGAAGCAAUUUUAUAGAGCGUGUUGCAAAGACUAAUGGGGCGAAACUUGAUCAAUGAGGACUGCCUUCAUCACCCCAUCUCCACAAAUACCCUAGUGCUUCUGGAAGAAGUGAGCUGGGAAGGCAUUAGGACCCGGGGCCUUCGUAGAAAAAAUUUGAAACAGUGCAAUCUUUUCCUUCUUUUUUAGAGAUGGACUACUCGAAUGUUGGACAGGUGAAGCACUAAUGGACCAGAGGGUAUCCUCAUGUCAUGUUCCAUUAGUGGGGAUAGAACUAAUGGACCGGAGGGUAUCCCCAUGCCCUGUAUCUUUCGGGGAUUGGAUGGAGGAGAGAUUUUAGGCAAGUGCACGAGCGAUGUAUUAGAAAUGUAUUAAAAAUUAUUCUGCAUGUAUUAUAUUCAUCAUGUAUAAAAAUGUUCUUCAUGUUUUUCUAACGA